rnacentral:misc_RNA from 1 species
GAUGAAGAACGUAGCGAAAUGCGAUACGUAAUGUGUAUUGCAGAAUUCAGUGAAUCAUCGAAUCUUUGAACGCAUAUUGCGCUCUCUGGUAUUCCGGAGAGCAUGCUUGUUUGAGUAUCAGUAAACACCUCAACUUCCAUAUCUUUUUUUGAAAUGGGAGUUGGACUUGAGUGAUCCCAACGCUUUUCCUCACCGAAAAGUGGCGGGUUACUUGAAAUGCAGGUGCAGCUGGACUUUUCUCUGAGCUAUAAGCAUAUCUAUUUAGUCUGCCUAAAAAACAGAUUAUUACCUUUGCUGCAGCUAACAUAAAGGAGAUUAGUUCUUGUGCUGACUGAUGCAGGAUUCACAAAGACAGCUUCGGCCGACUUUGUAAACUCGAUCUCAAAUCAAGUAAGACUACCCGCUGAACUUAAGCAUAUCAAUAAGCGGAGGA